rnacentral:lncRNA from 1 species
UCAAAACAGAAGUCAAUAAAUUAGAAAAGCAGAAAGCAUUAGAGAAAAGCAAUGAACCCCAGAGCUGAUUCUUUGAAACAAUCAAUAAAAUUAAUAAACCUUGAGUCAGAUUGGUCAGCGAACAAAGGAUAGAAAAUACAAAUCACCAAUAUCAGAAAUGAGAGAAAUGACAUCACUACGGAGUCUUCAGGUGUUUAAAUUAUAAGAAGAAGAUAUUUUGAAAAAAAGCAAUAAAUUUAAAAACUUAGAUAAAAUGGACAAAUUCCUUAAAAGAUACAAUCUACCAAGAUUCACUCAAGAAAUAAUAGAUAAGCUGAAUAGCCUUAUAUCUAUUAAAUUAAAUAUGUAGUAAAAACCUUCCCACAAGGAAAACUCCAGGCCCAGGUGGCUUUACUGCUGAACCCUACGAAAUCUCCUGAGAAGAAACACCUACAGCCAAUGCUACACUUAAUGGUGAAAGACAGAAUGCUUCCCCUACGGGCCCAGGGCCAGGCAAGGAUAGCCAUUCUCGGCCAUUCCAUUCGACAUUGUGCCGCCAGGUCCGUGAAUUACUCAGGGAAAUUAAUAGAAGGUGUCUAGAUUGGAGAGGACAUAAAAGUGUCUUAAUUUUCAGACAACACGCUUAUCUAUGAAGAAAAUCCCAUGAAAUCUAUAAAACAACUAUUAGAACUAAUAAAGCUUAGCUAAGUGGCAGGCUACUAGAUCAAUAUACAAAAAUCAAUUGUGUUUUUAUAUACUGGCAACAAUUAGAAAUUUAAAUGGAAAGAAAUACCACUUAUAAUAUUAAAAAAACAUGAAAUACUUAGGGCUAAACCUGACAAAAGAUGUGCAUGACCUCUACAUUGAAUAUUACAAAACAUUGAUGAGGGUAAUUGAAUUAGAUCUAAUUAGAUGGAGGGAUUUACCACAGUAAUAGAUUGGGAGGCUCAUUACUGUCAAGGUGUCAGCUCUCCCCAGAUUUAUGUACGGAUUCAGAGCAAUACCAAUCAAAAUCCUAGCGGCCCUCUUUUUGUAGAAAUGGAUGGUCUGAUUCUAAAAUUCACAUGAAAGUGCAAAGUACGUAGAAUAGCUAAAUAAGUCUGAAGCAGAAGAACGAAUUUGGAGAACUUUUGCUACCUAAUUUCAGGACUUAUUAUAAAGCUACUGUAAUCAAGACAGUGUGGUAUUGGCAUAAAGACACACAAAUAGAGUGAUAGAAUAGGAUAAGGAAUCCAGAAAUAGACCCACGUGUAUGUCAAUGGGUCUUUUGUAAAUGCAUGGAGGCAAUUCGAUGGAGAAAGGACAGUUUUCCUAUCCUUUGUGGAACAAUUGAUGAUCCGUAUGAAAAAAAAAAAGGACUUUGAUAAAUUCAUUCUAUCAUAUGCAAAAUUUGCUCAAAAUGGAUUAGAAACAUAAAUGAAAGACUGAAACCCACAAAGUUUCUGGAAGAAAGCAUUGGAGAAAAUCUUGAGACUUCAGGUUAGUCAAAUAUAUAUUAGAUACAACAUCAAAAGCAUGAUCUAUAGAAGGAAGAAAUAACUUACACUGAUAAGUGAAUGGAGAGACAGAUCACAGACUGGAAGAAAAUAUUUGCAGAUCACAUAUUGAUAAAGCACUUGUACAUUAAAUAUGUAAAGAACUCACAAAUGUCAAUAAUAAUUUAAAAACCCCACCCAAUAAAAAGACGGGCAAGGGGUUUGGAACCAAGCGACCUAGCUCAGCUUCACAAAAACACUUAAGGUAGAAAAGUAGAGAAAGACAACAGCUCAUGCUGAGGUAGGAUUGUGGGGUGGGCACAGCCUCAGAGGGCUCGAGGAGCACGUGGAGUGUUUGCUUCAGGGAGGUUUGUAGCCCCCCUCCCACAGGGACCCUUACUGUCUUCUGUUGAACAUCCUCAAUUUUCCAGGUGAACAUCAAGUCUUUUCAUCUAUGAGAACUUUGAUUCCACUGUUGUAGUAUUUGAUCUCUUGUUGCCUCCCUGUCUAUUCCUCAUCCUUUGGCUGGGACACUCCUCUGAGCAGAGGGGACCAGAGUCAUGGGAGCAGUGAUGGCCUGUAUCCUUGUCCUGAGCCUGACUUGAAAGGCAGUGCCUCUAGUUUCCCCACUCCACACAAUGUUUGUUGGUUAAUGACAGUGUGGUAUAAUGUAUUUAAUCUUCAAGGUAAUACCAUUGUAAUAGGCUGUGGAAAUUCAUUGAGGUUAUCUUUGUGGCCUAAUAAAUGCUCCAUUUUUAAAUGUCCCAUAGAUGUUUAAAAAUAAUUUCUAUGCUCUGUUAGGAAAUUUAUUUUUUAUGUAUCUAUUUGGUCAAGCUUUUCAGUUGUGUAUUCAAAUUCUCAUUUGUUUCAUAUGUUGUAUUAUUGGUCAGUUUCUAAAAUUGUGUUAAUGGUUCCUGUAAUCAUUGUGGAUUUGUCCACUUCCCCUUGUAUUUAUAACAGCUUUUGUUGUAUUUCAACCUGUCGGUAAGGGAAUAAAAUUCAUGGCUCAUACA